UACCAGCAUUAGCCAGCGUUUGUACUUCGACCCUUCGAAAACCCCCCAAAUCCUCUCUCUUGAUCAACUCUCCCCUUCUCUCUUUGAUCAAUCUCUCUCCCUCUUCCUCUCCCUCUUACAUCGGCCAGCGACGUUCUACCGCAACCCAGCGGCGCAUCAGCCGCAUUGUGACGGAGAUCCAACUAUACCUCAGCAUCUAACAAAUAGGGUUUCUACCCUGGAAGAAAAUAUUCGAAGAAAAGAUAACUGACAGUAUGAAUGAUGACAUAAAAAAUUCAGUUCAUGCAGGCAUUCCUGCUCAGAAUUAUGAAGUUGACAUAUUGCCAAGAUAAAAGGAAGCUUUAUCCCUGGGCUUGAGUUCGUACAAGCAUCACUUGCAGAAAACAAAGAUAACUACAUCAACAGGUUCUGUUUUCAAAAUCAGUAUGUGGACAUUUUCACCAAGGCAUCAUCAUCUCACCACUUCAAGCACAUUAUCGGCAAGCCUGGCAUAUAUGAUAUCCAUGCAUCAGCUUGAGAGGGAGUGUUAGAGUACAUGGUGCUUUCUUAUAUGUGCAGAGCUCCAUCCCGGCAUAUUCUAGCAUACAUUGCUCUAUGGUACUUCGAAAUACCCUAUACUUUUUGUCUCUUUUGGAUUUAUUUUUUGCUUAUCAUUGUAACGACCUUGAUUAUUAAAAUUCCACACGUUCUCCCCAUUUCCCCUCUUUCUUCCUUUCCCCAGAUUACAGACUGAAAUAACGAUUAUCUUCACACUAUAUAUUUCUGCAUGCCGGGACCAUUCGAUGGUGAGUUUAUGGGGGUACAUAAUCCAAUCAUUGCAUGGAUAAAUUGCAAGAAAUUGGAAUGUCUCAGUUACCCAUGAAAAUAUCCAACCAACCAUACUUUCAAUUUCAUACCCGGAUUUCUUGGCCAGCAAAACAGAGAAGAAAGCUUAGCUUGCUAAACAUGGAAUAGGCAGGAUGCCAGCAAUGGCAGGAACAGUUGAUGUAACCAGAUUGCAGAUCGCUACAUAUGCUGUCCCAUCAAAGCUCUGGUCAUUGUGUUUGAGAUCAGGCCAUAUAUCUUUUUCAAAUUCUUGCAAGCAGAAACAAAUGGUUGAUACUUUUGACCUUAACCGAGAAGAAGGAAUCAAAUCUGCAUACAUCAGAUGAACUGAUGGUAAGUCCUGAAUCCACUGAAAGUUGCACAUGUAGCUUGACGCCCAUUCACAUUUACUUUCUGCGGAAGCACAUGGGGAUUUCUAUGUCCAUAUGUGGUGGAGGAGACCAGAAGUCAUUUUUAGAAGUAAAUGUGUUUCUAUAAAAA